rnacentral:rRNA from 1 species
CAAUGGCAGGUACAGAGGGGUGCUACCGGGUGACCGGAUGCCGAUCUCGAAAACCUGUCCCAGUUCGGACUGGAGUCUGCAACCCGACUCCACGAAGUUGGAUUCGCUAGUAAUCGCGCAUCAGCCAUGGCGCGGUGAAUACGUUCCCGGGCCUUGUACACACCGCCCGUCAAGCCGUGGGAGCCGGGGGCGCCUGAAGUCCGGGACCGCGAGGACCGGCCUAGGGCGAAACUGGUGACUGGGGCUAAGUCGUAACAAGGUAAC